CAAGGUGUAUAUAAACCAGAUCUAUUCGAAUAAUGAAAUAGUCAUCUCAAUAGGGACCUUUAAGCUGAGGUUAAACUCAACCUUUUGAGAAAGAGGGUCACGAAACCUUUUUGUUUUGAUUGCCUUGGGCGGUCACCGGUUACAAAUCACUUUGCCUCAUUUAAGAGCAAAGUUUCUCAGGGCAAUCGUCUUCUAUCUCGACUGGAAUCUUGUGUCAAGUAUUAAUAACAGACUCGAGUUUUUUAUCCUAUAUUAAGAAGAAUGAGCAAGUUCAACCGUCCAAACAUUUCUAUCCAAACCGGAUUUCAGGCAAUAUCCGGCUUCAAUUUCCGCAAAGGAAUUCAGUCUAACGGUGCAGAAAUUCUAGGAAACCUGUUUGACGUUUCUGAACUGCAAAAAGACGGAAAAAGUGUGAUCAAAGGCAAAAUACUUCGGACAACUUCCAUUCGUGAAAGCCCGUUUGAUAUUGAUUUACAAUUGGAUGGAAACCGUCAAAAUGAUAGGGCGAGGUAAGAUUUUACGGAAAUUCUAACCUAGUGCUACUUAGAUAGAUAGAUUUAUUUCAGGAACACUGAUCAUGAUUAAAUAAUGUCGGCAUUUUAUCAUUGCGUUAGCAUCUUGAUACAUCAAAAAUUUCAUGAUCAUGUAAUUCCUCAGGUUCUGGGUAAGCAAAAGCUUGUUUUCACCAGGACCUGGGCAAUUUAACGAAGACAUGACAUAGAUCGUCAAUAAUGUUACAGAGGCCAAGCUGCAACACGAUAACGUGAGUUGGAAGAAUUACAAAAUCAAAUUGAAGGGCUUGUAGGAAAUCAUAUCGGUUUGAAGUUAUAAGAAAAGAAGGGACUAAGAAAAAGAUACAGAAAGAAGAACAUGAAAAACAGAGCAAAGCAAAUAAUUUCAGUGUUAAUUUGUUAUGUUUACUAGAAAAUGUGAGACGACUUCAGGAAUGGGAGGAAAUUAAUAGGUUUAGAAUUGUAUUUGGUGCAUGGAGUGUUUUGAUGAGAUUGAGCGGCUGAUAAUUGUAAUAAAAAAUAAAAAUAAAAAUCAUUUCUUAGGAUUUUUUUUGGCAUACAUAGCAAUUUUUGAGUUUGCACGGAGCAACUUGAACAUAUUACUUGUAGAUGUUCGUGUGUGGCUGGGAUAUCAGGUCAAUGCAAACACACAGCAGCGUUGUAUGAGUUCAUAAACACAGAAACGGAAGAAAGCAAGACUUCAGAGCAACAAACUUGGCAUCGUCCAUCCGAGGUUCUUUUGGCAAAGUAUCCCAAAGGCGAAUCUAUCCUAGAAAUUCUCAGCAACACAUCACUUGAUGUUACUACCUCAGUUCGUACUGAAACACAAGCCAAUCUAACACAGGAGCUACAAAUGUUCGGCCUGAUUUCGAGUUCCUUUUACGUUUGCCUUACUGUCGAUCGAGAACAAGGGCUUACUGAAUAUCCGAAGGCCAAGCAAAAGCCGGAAUUAGAGCAAGUAGUAAAGUCCCUUCUUCACAAUCCUGCCAAGCUUCCGGAACAAUUUCAUUCCGAUAUUAAUCUUUCCGAUAUUAAUCUUUCCAUUGGAGAAUCUCGCUUCUUUAACAAAAAUGUUCUUUGUGACAUGGAAAAGGCGAUCGAACUUAGUGAAGCAUCCCUUGGACAGGCAUAUGCACCUGCGUGGCACAAGUUACGUCGUUUUCGAAUAUCAGCAUUGAGAGCAGGUCCGAUAGGAGGAGCGAAGCAAGAUCACACCUUGUUGAAGUACUUCUUUGAAGAAAAAAGCAGCAACAAACAUAUGCAAUAUGGUCGAGAGACAGAACCUAAGGCCAGAAUGAGGUCUGAGGAUCAAACCGGCAACAAAGUGCUUCAGACGGGUGUCAUUAUAAGUCCAAUCUACCCUUGGUUACGUGUUAGCCCUGAUGGUAUUGCGAUUGACUGAAAUGGAAACCUCAUCGUACUAGAGGUCAAGUGUCCCUUCACCUGUAAGACUGAGCAGAUCUCGAAUUUAAGUUACUUGAAGGAUGGUCAAAUUCGACGAAGUGACAAAUAUUACGCUCAAGUCCAGAUCCAGCUUUUCGUAGCUAAUCUAACCAAGGUUCAUUUUUUCAUCUACACUAGCGUAGAUUCGAAGCUUAUAGAAAUCCCGAGGGAUGAUGAAUACCUGUAGAAUUUGAUAUCUAAAUUAGAAAAUCGAUAUUUUGGAAAGAUCCUACCUGCCCUUUUGUCUAAGAAAUUCUAAAUUAGACUUUAGCUUCU